rnacentral:lncRNA from 10 species
GUCAGAUGGCAAAAAUCAAGCAAACCCUUCUAGACAGCCGGGGAGUGUUCCUCGACAUGUUUCUCCAGUGACACCUCCCAGAGAACCUAUAUAUGCAAACAGAUUUGCAGUACCAACCUAUGCAGCCAAGCAACCUCAGCAGUUCCCAUCAAGGCCACCUCCACCACAACCGAAAGUAUCAUCUCAGGGAAACUUAAUUCCUGCCCGUCCUGCUCCUGCACCUCCUUUAUAUAGUUCCCUCACUUGAUUUUUUUAACCUUCUUUUUGCAAAUGUCUUCAGGGAACUGAGCUAAUACUUUUUUUUUUUCUUGAUGUUUUCUUGAAAAGCCUUUCUGUUGCAACUAUGAAUGAAAACAAAACACCACAAAACAGACUUCACUAACACAGAAAAACAGAAACUGAGUGUGAGAGUUGUGAAAUACAAGGAAAUGCAGUAAAGCCAGGGAAUUUACAAUAACAUUUCCGUUUCCAUCAUUGAAUAAGUCUUAUUCAGUCAUCGGUGAGGUUAAUGCACUAAUCAUGGAUUUUUUGAACAUGUUAUUGCAGUGAUUCUCAAAUUAACUGUAUUGGUGUAAGAGUUUUGUCAUUAAGUGUUUAAGUGUUAUUCUGAAUUUUCUACCUUAGUUAUCAUUAAUGUAGUUCCUCAUUGAACAUGUGAUAAUCUAAUACCUGUGAAAACUGACUAAUCAGCUGCCAAUAAUAUCUAAUAUUUUUCAUCAUGCACGAAUUAAUAAUCAUCAUACUCUAGAAUCUUGUCUGUCACUCACUACAUGAAUAAGCAAAUAUUGUCUUCAAAAGAAUGCACAAGAACCACAAUUAAGAUGUCAUAUUAUUUUGAAAGUACAAAAUAUACUAAAAGAGUGUGUGUGUAUUCACGCAGUUACUCGCUUCCAUUUUUAUGACCUUUCAACUAUAGGUAAUAACUCUUAGAGAAAUUAAUUUAAUAUUAGAAUUUCUAUUAUGAAUCAUGUGAAAGCAUGACAUUCGUUCACAAUAGCACUAUUUUAAAUAAAUUAUAAGCUUUAAGGUACGAAGUAUUUAAUAGAUCUAAUCAAAUAUGUUGAUUCAUGGCUAUAAUAAAGCAGGAGCAAUUAUAAAAUCUUCAAUCAAUUGAACUUUUACAAAACCACUUGAGAAUUUCAUGAGCACUUUAAAAUCUGAACUUUCAAAGCUUGCUAUUAAAUCAUUUAGAAUGUUUACAUUUACUAAGGUGUGCUGGGUCAUGUAAAAUAUUAGACACUAAUAUUUUCAUAGAAAUUAGGCUGGAGAAAGAAGGAAGAAAUGGUUUUCUUAAAUACCUACAAAAAAGUUACUGUGGUAUCUAUGAGUUAUCAUCUUAGCUGUGUUAAAAAUGAAUUUUUACUAUGGCAGAUAUGGUAUGGAUCGUAAAAUUUUAAGCACUAAAAAUUUUUUCAUAACCUUUCAUAAUAAAGUUUAAUAAUAGGUUUAUUAACUGAAUUUCAUUAGUUUUUUAAAAGUGUUUUUGGUUUGUGUAUAUAUACAUAUACAAAUACAACAUUUACAAUAAAUAAAAUACUUGAAAUUCU